rnacentral:rRNA from 1 species
UGCCCUUGGGACGGAAACACCCCCGGGAAACUGGGGCUAAUUUCUGAUAGGUGAAGACUCCUGGAAUGGAUUUUCGCUUAAAGGGCGCCUAGGGCAUGCUCCUAGGCGUUGCCCAAGGAUGGGGCCGCGGCCGAUCAGGUUGUUGGUGAGGUAAUGGCCCACCAAGCCUUUAACUGGUACGGGCCGUGGGAGCGGUAGCCCGGAGAUGGGCACUGAGACAAGGGCCCAGGCCCUACGGGGCGCAGCAGUCGCGAAAACUUCGCAAUAAGCGAAAGCUUGACGGGGCCAUCCCGAGUGCCAUCUGCUGAGGAUGGCUUUUACCCAGUAUAGAUAGCUGGGGGAAUAAGGAGAGGGCAAGUCUGGUGUCAGCCGCCGCGGUAAUACCAGCUCUCCGAGUUGUAGGGAUGUUUAUUGGGCCUAAAGCAUCCGUAGCCGGCUGGACAAGUCCUCUGUUAAAUCCAGCGACCAAUCGUUGGUCUGCGGGGGAUACUGUCCGGCUAGGGGGCGGGAGAGGCCGUCGGUAUUCUUGGGGUAGGGGUGAAAUCCUAUAAUCCCAGGAGGACCACCAGUGGCGAAGGCUGUCGGCUAGAACGCGCCCGACGGUGAGGGAUGAAAGCUGGGGGAGCGAACCGGAUUAGAUACCCGGGUAGUCCCAGCUGUAAACGAUGCAGGCUAGGUGUUAGGGCGGCUACGUGCCGCUCUAGUGCCGCAGGGAAGCUGUUAAGCCUGCCGCCUGGGGAGUACGGCCGCAAGGCUGAAACUUAAAGGAAUUGGCGGGGGAGCAC